CUUGAAUCAAAAUUUUCUUAUUUCGUGACUCUUCUCUUAGUUUAGAGUAUAUAUCAGCAAAAUUAUGAUAAGUCCUUACGUUGUAACAUUAUUUCAUCUGCUUUUAUUGUAUUCCUUUGGAUUUUCAGUUGGAUUCAAGGAAUCACGUAAAAGUGGUGAAAGCAACUGCAGAGAGAAUGAGAGACAAGCACUCCUCAACUUCAAACAAAGCCUCAUUGAUCACUAUGGCAGACUGUCUACAUGGACUGAUCAUCAAAAUAAUACAGAUUGCUGCAAUUGGGAAGGCAUUCAAUGCAACCAUCAAACUGGUCAUGUCAUUCUACUUGAUCUUCGUUGUCUGGAUACAAAAUAUUUGAAAGGUGCAAUAAAUCUCACUUCAUUGAUUCACUUGCAAUACAUUCAACAUCUAGACCUCAGCAAUAAUGAUUUUAUGUGGACUCACAUCCCACAAGCCAUUGGCUCUUUCACCAACUUACAAUAUCUCAACUUCUCAUUUUCUGAAUUUAGUGGGAUGAUUCCUUUCCAACUUGGAAAUCUUUCACUACUAAGGUAUCUAGACCUUGGAAGAAAUCAUCUUCGUGGAACAGUUCCUUUUCAGAUUGGGAAUCUUAGACAGUUACAAUAUCUUGAUCUUGCAAGUAACAGUCUUUCUGGAGCUAUCCCUUUUCGGAAUGAGAAUCUUCCUCUCUUACAAACUCUUGGGCUAGGUGGUGAUUUUGAUAUAAAAGCCGAGGAUUCACAGUGGUUGUCUAAUCUCCAUUUUUUAAGAAGUCUUCACUUGAGCUCAUUGCAUAAUCUCAACUCCUCGCGCCAGUGGCUACAAGCUAUCAGUGACCUCAUUCCAAACUUAGUAGAGUUGAGGCUUUUUGAUUGUUCUCUUUCAGAUACUAAUAUCAAAUCUUUGUUUCGUUCUCAUUCGAACUUUUCAACUUCUCUUGCUGUCCUUGAUUUGUCUUAUAAUGUGUUAACUUCCUCAACAUUUCAACUGUUAUUCAAUUUUAGCCUUCAUCUACAAGAGCUUUAUCUCACAGAUAAUGACAUUGCCUUGUCAUCUUUUCUGUAUCCAAAUUUUCCAUCUCUUAAUAUCCUUGAUCUCUCUAGAAAUAAUCUAACAGCAUCAGUAUUUGGAGAUAAUUUUAAUGUUCGCUCCAAACUACGGGAGCUUCGUUUGUAUAAUUGCAGUUUUACAGAUAAAAGUUUUCCUAUUUCCUCUGCUUCCACAAUUAAUUCUUCAUCUUCUCUUGUCGUACUUGAUCUCUCCUCAAAUCUAUUGAAAUCAUCUACUGUGUUUUAUUGGCUUCUGAAUUACACCACGAAUCUUCAAACCCUUUUACUUUUUGACAACCUGCUAGAAGGUCCCAUUCCAGAUGGAUUUGGAGAAGUAAUGAACUCUCUUGAACAAUUCUAUGCCUACGGGAACAGACUACAAGGAAAGAUUCCAUCUUUCUUUGGAAACAUGUGCAGACUGCGGACCUUAGACCUUUCAAAUAAUAAGUUGAAUGGGGAAAUUUCUCAUUUCUUUCAAAAUUCUUCAUGGUGCAAUAGACACGUAUUUCAAAAUUUGGAUUUAUCAUAUAACCAAAUUACAGGAAAGAUACCAAAAAGCAUCAUAUUGCUAUCUGAGUUGGAGGAUCUAAAUUUGGAGGGAAAUUCUUUAGAGGGUGAAGUCACUGAAUCUCAUCUUUCUAAUUUUUCCAAAUUAGAAACUUUAUCCCUAUCAUACAACACAUUGUCUCUAAGAUUUGUCUCUAAUUGGGUUCCUCCUUUCCAAGCAACAAUAUUGAGUUUAGCGUCUUGCAAGCUAGGUCCGAGUUUUCCUGUUUGGCUCCGGACACAGAAUUCUUUAAUGUCGCUAGAUAUAUCUGAUAACGACCUUAGUGAUUCUAUACCAGCAUGGUUUUGGAACAAAUUGCAAAAUUUGGGAUGGUUAAAUAUGUCUCACAAUAAUCUCAAUGGUGCAAUUCCUGAUAUACCAUUAAAGCUUCCUUAUGGACCAUCUAUAAUUCUGAAUUCAAAUCAAUUUGAGGGAGCACUUCCACCAUUUUUUCUACAAGCUUCAGGGCUGUUCCUCUCUCAAAAUAGAAUUUCUGAUUUGCAUUCUUUUUUGUGUAACCAAAUCAUUGCUCCGAAUUUGGCAACUUUAGAUUUAUCAAACAAUCACAUAACAGCACAAAUUCCUGAUUGUUGGCAAUCUUUACACCAAUUACUAUUUCUUGAUUUGAGCGAGAAUCACUACUAGAAAAAUGGUAUUUAUAUACGGAAUUUUUUAUACGGAUUUUUAUCCGUAUAUAAUGUGAAUUUUACAUACGGAAUUUUUAUACGGAUAUGAAUAAUGGCAAUACAUACGGAUUUUCCGUAUGUAAUUGGGGGAAAAUUUUAUAUACGGAUUAUCCCUCUGUAAUAUCGGUAUGUAAUUAAAAAAAUUAGCACGUGCACUGUUCUUAGAGUCUUCUCAGUCUCGAUUGUUUCUUACUUUCGAUUCUUCUCACUCUCCAGCCCUAACCUUCUCCCCCUUACUCUUCUCAUUAUGCAUCCCUAACAUUCUCCCUGCACUGUCUUCUUCCCUCCACUCAUUCUCCGUGUCCGAUUGCAACUCUGUUAGUCUUGAGCUCACACUCCUUCUCGAACGUAGUUGGCAUUCGUUCUCCGAAAUCGCUUUCACUGAAACGGUAACUUGGCAUUCGUUCUCCGAAUCGUAGUGUGGCAUUGCAGGCAUCGUUUUCCCUGAGUCGAACCGUAGUUGUCAUCAUCCUCGAAUCCCGGUUUGAAAUUGUGAUUAAGGAAACGUAGGUUGGUUUCGUCGAUGUGGAAGAUAUAAGCUGGAGCUGGCAUUCUCUUCUACACCUUAUGCAGAAUUUGUGUUUGGAAUGCAUUUGACGAAAGCUUAGUAUACUCAUUGACUGGGCAUAUUGAAUCUGUAAGUGUUUAAGCCUCUUCAAACCAAGUUUUAAGUACUAAACUUAGCUGAAGAUCUUGGCAGGAGAUUGUUAGCUGUAUUCGAUACUCCUACAGAGAAAGGUUUCAUGGAGGUCUAACCAUGAAGAAAAGGUGAAAAAAAAUUUCCACACAAAAGCAUCUCAUAGAUUAUCUGAGAUGUUUAAAAAAGCUCGAACAGAAGGAAAAAAACCUGAUUGGAUGGGGG